rnacentral:sRNA from 2 species
GUCCAACCCACGCCGAAUUUUCCGAUGCUCGGAAAUACGGAGGAUCCUCAUUGGGGGUGAAGGUCAAAGACCGGGCAAUUUUCCUGUUGCCUAACCCGUAAGCUAACUCCGGAGGCAAUAACAGGAAAGGGUU